rnacentral:rRNA from 1 species
UACGGAGGGUGCAAGCGUUAUCCGGAUUUACUGGGUUUAAAGGGUGCGUAGGUGGGUUGGUAAGUCAGUGGUGAAAUACUUUCGCUUAACGAAGGAACUGCCAUUGAUACUAUCAAUCUUGAAUGUAGUGGAGGUAGGCGGAAUGCGUCAUGUAGCGGUGAAAUGCUUAGAUAUGACGCAGAACACCAAUUGCGAAGGCAGCUUGCCACACUACUAUUGACACUGAGGCACGAAAGCGUGGGGAUCAAACAGG